rnacentral:rRNA from 1 species
GACGAACGCUGGCGGCAGGCUUAACACAUGCAAGUCGAACGCAUCCUUCGGGGUGAGUGGCAGACGGGUGAGUAACGCGUGGGAAUCUACCUCUUGCUACGGGAUAGCUCCGGGAAACUGGAAUUAAUACCGUAUGUGCCCUUCGGGGGAAAGAUUUAUCGGCAAGGGAUGAGCCCGCGUUGGAUUAGCUAGUUGGUGGGGUAAAGGCCUACCAAGGCGACGAUCCAUUGCUGGUCUGAGAGGAUGAUCAGCCACAUUGGGACUGAGACACGGCCCAAACUCCUACGGGAGGCAGCAGUGGGGAAUAUUGGACAAUGGGCGCAAGCCUGAUCCAGCCAUGCCGCGUGAGUGAUGAAGGUCUUAGGAUUGUAAAGCUCUUUCACCGGGGACGAUAAUGACGGUACCCGGAGAAGAAGCCCCGGCUAACUUCGUGCCAGCAGCCGCCGCGG